rnacentral:rRNA from 1 species
UACGGAGGAUCCGAGCGUUAUCCGGAUUUAUUGGGUUUAAAGGGUGCGUAGGCGGAAGAUUAAGUCAGUGGUGAAAGUUUGCAGCUUAACUGUAAAAUUGCCAUUGAUACUGGUUUUCUUGAGUACAGCUGAGGUAGGCGGAAUGUGGUGUGUAGCGGUGAAAUGCAUAGAUAUACCACAGAACACCGAUUGCGAAGGCAGCUUACUAAACUGUAACUGACGCUGAUGCACGAAAGCGUGGGGAUCAAACAGG